UACAGAGGGGGCAAGCGUUGUUCGGAAUUACUGGGCGUAAAGGGCGCGUAGGCGGCCUUCUAAGUCGAACGUGAAAUCCCCGGGCUCAACCCGGGAACUGCGUUGGAAACUGGCAAGCUCGAGUAUGGCAGAGGGGGGUGGAAUUCCGCGUGUAGCAGUGAAAUGCGUAGAGAUGCGGAGGAACACCGAUGGCGAAGGCAGCCCCCUGGGCCAAUACUGACGCUCAGGCACGAAAGCGUGGGGAGCAAACAGG
rnacentral:rRNA from 1 species